UAGGGAAUCUUCGGCAAUGGACGGAAGUCUGACCGAGCAACGCCGCGUGAGUGAAGAAGGUUUUCGGAUCGUAAAGCUCUGUUGUAAGAUAAGAACGAGUGUGAGAGUGGAAAGUUCACACUGUGACGGUAUCUUACCAGAAAGGGACGGCUAACUACGUGCCAGCAGCCGCGGUAAUACGUAGGUCCCGAGCGUUGUCCGGAUUUAUUGGGCGUAAAGCGAGCGCAGGCGGUUAGAUAAGUCUGAAGUUAAAGGCUGUGGCUUAACCAUAGUACGCUUUGGAAACUGUUUAACUUGAAUGCAAGAGGGGAGAGUGGAAUUCCAUGUGUAGCGGUGAAAUGCGUAGAUAUAUGGAGGAACACCGGUGGCGAAAGCGGCUCUCUGGCUUGUAACUGACGCUGAGGCUCGAAAGCGUGGGGAGCAAACAGG
rnacentral:rRNA from 1 species